GGACUUGAACCCUCACGGUCUAUAAAGCCAACGGAUUUUCAAUUCGAUCAAGUCCGUAGCGUCUCC
rnacentral:tRNA from 1 species